UAACGCGAAGAACCUUACCAGGUCUUGACAUCUUCUGCUAACCUAAGAGAUUAGGCGUUCCCUUCGGGGACGGAAUGACAGGUGGUGCAUGGUUGUCGUCAGCUCGUGUCGUGAGAUGUUGGGUUAAGUCCCGCAACGAGCGCAACCCUUAUUGUCAGUUGCCAGCAUUUAGUUGGGCACUCUGGCGAGACUGCCGGUGACAAACCGGAGGAGGGUGGGGAUGACGUCAAAUCAUCAUGCCCCUUAUGACCUGGGCUACACACGUGCUACAAUGGACGGUACAACGAGUCGCGAAACCGCGAGGUCAAGCUAAUCUCUUAAAGCCGUUCUCAGUUCGGAUUGAGGUCUGCAACUCGACCUCAUGAAGUCGGAGUCGCUAGUAAUCGCAGAUCAGCA
rnacentral:rRNA from 1 species